rnacentral:misc_RNA from 1 species
AAGUCGUAACAAGGUCUCCGUAGGUGAACCUGCGGAGGGAUCAUUCACAUGAUUUACUUUUAUUAACAUUUUCGUGAACUUUAUUAUUAUUUACCAUUCGUGUUGUUGUCUUCAAUUACAUUGUAAUUGUUUUCAUCAACACUGUCAUUCGAUCGAACAUAAGAUAGUUGGCUUGUAUCAUACGAUACUUUCUCAGCUUUGAUUUCGAAUGUAACUCAACACUACAUUGUGAUAAUCAACCAAUAAAUAGAAUUAACAACUCUAUGCCCUGGAUAUCUUGGUUCUC